GUUGGGCUGUUCGCCCAUUAAAGCGGCACGCGAGCUGGGUUUAGAACGUCGUGAGACAGUUCGGUCCCUAUCCGCCGCGCGCGUAAGAAACUUGAGAAGGGCUGUCCCUAGUACGAGAGGACCGGGAUGGACGAACCUCUGGUGUGCCAGUUGUUCCGCCAGGAGCACGGCUGGUUAGCUACGUUCGGAAGUGAUAACCGCUGAAAGCAUCUAAGCGGGAAGCACGCUUCGAGAUGAGGUUUCUCACCGGGUCAACCGGGUAAGGCCCCCAGCAGAACACUGGGUUGAUAGGCCGGAGGUGGAAGGCAGCAAUGCACGCAGCCGACCGGUACUAAUAGGCCGAGGGCUUGUCUUCUUCU
rnacentral:rRNA from 1 species